AGUGAACGCUGGCGGUAGGCCUAACACAUGCAAGUCGAACGGCAGCACAGAGGAGCUUGCUCCUUGGGUGGCGAGUGGCGGACGGGUGAGGAAUACAUCGGAAUCUACUCUGUCGUGGGGGAUAACGUAGGGAAACUUACGCUAAUACCGCAUACGACCUACGGGUGAAAGCAGGGGAUCUUCGGACCUUGCGCGAUUGAAUGAGCCGAUGUCGGAUUAGCUAGUUGGCGGGGUAAAGGCCCACCAAGGCGACGAUCCGUAGCUGGUCUGAGAGGAUGAUCAGCCACACUGGAACGGAGACACGGUCCAGACUCCUACGGGAGGCAGCAGUGGGGAAUAUUGGACAAUGGGCGCAAGCCUGAUCCAGCCAUACCGCGUGGGUGAAGAAGGCCUUCGGGUUGUGAAGCCCUUUUGUUGGGAAAGAAAUCCAUCUGGUUAAUACCCGGGUGGGAUGACGGUACCCAAAGAAUAAGCACCGGCUAACUUCGUGCCAGCAGCCGCCGUAA
rnacentral:rRNA from 1 species